CUUGGUCAUUUAGAGGAAGUAAAAGUCGUAACAAGGUCUCCGUUGGUGAACCAGCGGAGGGAUCAUUACCGAGUUUACAACUCCCAAACCCAAUGUGAACGUUACCAAACUGUUGCCUCGGCGGGAUCUUCUGCCCCGGGUGCGUCGCAGCCCCGGACCAAGGCGCCCGCCGGAGGAAUCAACCAAAACUCUUAUUGUAUACCCCCUCGCGGGUUUUUUUUAUAAUCUGAGCCUUCUCGGCGCCUCUCGUAGGCGUUUCGAAAAUGAAUCAAAACUUUCAACAACGGAUCUCUUGGUUCUGGCAUCGAUGAAGAACGCAGCGAAAUGCGAUAAGUAAUGUGAAUUGCAGAAUUCAGUGAAUCAUCGAAUCUUUGAACGCACAUUGCGCCCGCCAGUAUUCUGGCGGGCAUGCCUGUCCGAGCGUCAUUUCAACCCUCGAACCCCUCCGGGGGGUCGGCGUUGGGGAUCGGCCUUCCUUCACGGGGGCCGUCUCCGAAAUACAGUGGCGGUCUCGCCGCAGCCUCUCCUGCGCAGUAGUUUGCACACUCGCAUCGGGAGCGCGGCGCGUCCACAGCCGUUAAACACCCAACUUUCUGAAAUGUUGACCUCGGAUCAGGUAGGAAUACCCGCUGAACUUAAGCAUAUCAAUAAGCGGAGGA
rnacentral:rRNA from 1 species